AACGAACGCUGGCGGCAGGCUUAACACAUGCAAGUCGAACGCACUCUUCGGAGUGAUUGGCAGACGGGUGAGUAACACGUGGGAACCUACCCAAAGGUACGGAAUAACACAGGGAAACUUGUGCUAAUACCGCAUGUGCCCUUCGGGGUAACGAUUUAUAGCCUUUGGAUUGGCCCGCGUCGGAUUAGCUUGUUGGUGGGGUAAUGGCCUACCAAAGCGACUAUCCGUAGCUGGUCUGAGAAGAUGAUCAACCACACUGGAGCUGAGACACGGACCAGACUCCUACGGGAGGCAGCAGUGGGGAAUAUUGGACAAUGGGCGCAAGCCUGAUCCAGCCAUGCCGCGUGAGUGAUGAAGGACUUAGGGUUGUAAAGCUCUUUCCGCUGGGAAGAUAAUGACUGUAGCCGGAGCAGAAGCCCCGGCUAACUUCGUGCCAGCAGCCGCGGUAACAC
rnacentral:rRNA from 1 species